UACGUAGGGUGCAAGCGUUGUCCGGAAUUAUUGGGCGUAAAGAGCUCGUAGGCGGUCUGUCGCGUCGGCUGUGAAAACUCGGGGCUCAACUCCGAGCUUGCAGUCGAUACGGGCAGGCUAGAGUUCGGCAGGGGAGACUGGAAUUCCUGGUGUAGCGGUGAAAUGCGCAGAUAUCAGGAGGAACACCAAUGGCGAAGGCAGCUCGCUGGGACGUGACUGACGCUGAGACGCGAAAGCGUGGGGAGCAAACAGGAUUAGAAACCCGGGUAGU
rnacentral:rRNA from 1 species